rnacentral:misc_RNA from 1 species
AACGCACAUUGCGCCCUUUGGUAUUCCUUAGGGCAUGCCUGUUCGAGCGUCAUCUAAACCCUCAAGCACUGCUUGGUGUUGGGUGCCUGUCCCGCCCCUGCGCGUGGACUCACCUCAAAUUCAUUGGCGGCCCUCACGUUGGCUACGAGCGCAGCAGAAACGCGGACUCGUGGCCCUGCGGUGUGGCUCCCAGAAGCUAUUCUACCCAUUUUGACCUCGGAUCAGGUAGGGAUACCCGCUGAACUUAA